GGCUUAACACAUGCAAGUCGAACGCUCCGCAAGGGGAGUGGUGUACGGGUGAGGAACACGUGGGGAUCUGCCCUUUAGUUCGGAACAGCAUCGGGAAACUGGUGCUAAUACCGGAUACGCUAUUUGAUCUUGGUCGAUCGAAUAGGAAAGAUUUAUCGCUAAAGGAUGAACCCGCGUUAGAUUAGCCAGUUGGUGGGGUAAUGGCCUACCAAGGCGACGAUCUAUAGCUGGUCUGAGAGGACGAUCAGCCACACUGGAACUGAGACACGGUCCAGACUCCUACGGGAGGCAGCAGUGGGGAAUAUUAGACAAUGGGCGAAAGCCUGAUCCAGCCAUGCCGCGUGAGUGAUGAAGGCCUUCGGGUUGUAAAGCUC
rnacentral:rRNA from 1 species